AAGAUAUGAAUUAUCAAGACCUAAUUCCUUGUAACCUUAAAAAUAGAUAGUCUAACUACAAGUAUUUGAAUGUUAGUUUAACAUAUUCACAUAUCUAUAUAAAAGAAAAUAGUCACAUAAACAACUCAAUAAAUACAUAAAUGGAUUGGGAUUUUUUACCAAAAUACCCCAAAUUUAAAAAAAAAAACUAAAAUAACCCUGAUUUCAAAAAAACUCCUAAACUACCCCACUUUUACCCCAAUUU
rnacentral:lncRNA from 1 species